rfam:Sorghum bicolor cultivar BTx623 chromosome 10, whole genome shotgun sequence.
AUUCCAUGGUGAGGACAAUCUGAUACGUAUCCUUGAAAACGCUCCCAUGUUUCUGAAAUGGCUUCUGUCUUCUAUUGUUGGAAACUGAAAAUAUUUCCUCUUAAAGC